ensembl:lncRNA
CGAGUGCUCUUUCCAGCCAUCCUAGGACUUCCUUUAGAGCAGUUCUUGAAAGAUUCCCCAACCACCAUUGGCCUCAUUUGCCACUUCUGUACUUCCCUUCUGAAACGAAAUUCAGUUCUUUCAAAAAGAUUGAGUCCAGCGACUUCCCUGGAGGUGCACUGGAGGGGACACAGGUUUGACCUCUGGUCUGGGAAGAUCCCACAUGCCACAGAGCAAGGAAGCCUGUGCGCCCGACUCCUGAAGCGCACACAGCCGGAAGCAGGUGCUCCACAGCAAGGGAAGCCGCCACAGUGAGAAGCCCAAGUAGCAUGAUGAAGAGCAGCCUCUCAGGCCAUGAAGGC